rnacentral:rRNA from 1 species
UACAGAGGUCUCAAGCGUUGUUCGGAUUCAUUGGGCGUAAAGGGUGCGUAGGUGGCGAUGGUAAGGUCGGAUGUGGAAAUCCCGGGGCUCAAACCCCGGAACUGCAUUCGAUACUGCUGCGCUAGAGUACUGGAGAGGAGAUUGGAAUUUACGGUGUAGCAGUGAAAUGCGUAGAUAUCGUAAGGAAGACCAGUGGCGAAGGCGGAUCUCUGGACA